AUCUGUGGAUUUUCUUACUUUCAUUAUAAUUUUCUAUUUUCUAGAAUGCUUUUCCCAAUGAAGGUAUUCAAAACAAUUUCUUGUCUCCCUUUUUUCUAUACAAAUCUCCUAAUUUUAUCAGAGAAAUAAAAUGGGCAUUUUAAACUUCUAUGUUCACAUUCUUUUGUAAGAACAUUUACAGUUAUUUAAUGACAAGGAUUUGUGAUAAUGUAGUGUAUUGAGUGACCAGUACUGAUUUGAUGCUUUUUUUUUUAUAUUGCCUAGUCCAACCCCAAAGAACCGUGUCUUAGCCAAGCCUAUGGCAGUAAGAGUAUGUGCUGUACUUUAAAACACAACAUGAGUUCUACAUACAUAAGUACCACAUACUUGGAAGUAGAGCUUUAAUAACUUACUCUGCAUGGAUUUUACUGAGGAGGGACACAUGAAUCACUGUUUUCUAUUAGAGCCACCUCAGGCUUUGUUUGUUGUAUGACAGGUUAUCAUUGUGUAGCUCAAUUGGAUUGAAACUUUUUCUGUAUCCCAACCUGCCCUCAAACUCAAAAUCCAGUUUCUGCUACCAUCUAAGUGCUGCAAUCCCAGCAUGCAUCAUGCCUCUGGCAGACUUCUUUUGUGAUUUGUCCUUACUGGUUUAUAUUCUCUGAAACCAAUCUUGGCUUCAUGAGCAUCUUCCCAAGAACAGUAUGUGUUUCCCUCAGUUAUGGGGAAGCCUCC
rnacentral:lncRNA from 1 species